CUGGUCCUUACCGAGAAAACUUUAUGUUAGCUUUAUACUUGGGGUUAACAAAAAGGAAACUUGUCGUAGUGAUAGAUUUCAGCUCCUAUAACGUAGAUCAAUGUGUAGAUACAAGAGAAUAGAGUUAUCUUUGUACCAUCUCGAUUACAGGUGUGUAGCAGAGUUCCUUUAGUCUCUUGCUAACAUAAUAUGAACGACAACACCCAGCCAAAUAAGUUUCUAUAUCGAGUCUGAGAUCGAGAGAACUUUUCGCGAAUGGCUUGAAACAACCGGAUGUGAAGAGAAAGAAACGAAAACAUGGUAGAUCGAAACAAUCAACAACCGCAGAAUGUAGGCAAUGAUUCUAAUGCCAACUUAAAUGCAAAUGCAAAUUCGAUUCUUCUAGUGCAUGAUCGCAACAGGCUGAUCAGGGAGUAUGUGUCAUCAAAUUUGUAUGAUUUUUCACCGGGUAUAUAUCAUGCGUCUAGAUGUUGAUGGAACUAGAUUUGAGAUAAAGCCAAUGAUGCUGCAGAUGUUGCAAGCUGGAAGGUAGUUUGGAGAAGCUACCGAUGAAGACUCAUAAGCUCACUUGAAAGGCUUCAUGGAGGACUCGUCGGAGAAGGGUUCGGUUUCGUUGUAGCACCAUUGCUUCCCCUUGUGUUCUGGUGAUAUACUUCGAAAGAAAACUGCUGUUUUAUUUGUGUCCACAUUCUGAUCAAUCCAAUUUGACCAGGUUUUCAUGGCUGC